rnacentral:rRNA from 1 species
GACGACGCUGGCGGCGUGGAUUAGGCAUGCAAGUCGAACGGUAUCAUCCUUCGGGGGUGAGAGAGUGGCGAACUGGUGAGUAACACGUAGGUUAUCUACCCUCAAGACGGGACAACCCAGGGAAACUUGGGCUAAUACCGGAUGUGAGCAACUUUUAGUUGUUUGAAAGGUGGCGUAAGCUGUCGCUUGGGGAUGAGCCUGCGUCCUAUUAGUUAGUUGGUGAGGUAACGGCUCACCUAGGCAAUGAUAGGUAGGCGGCCUUAACGGGUGGUCGCCCACACUGGGAUUGAGAUACGGCCCAGACUCCUACGGGAGGCAGCAGUCGAGAAUAGUCUACAAUGGUCGGAAGACUGAUAGUGCGACGCCGCGUGAACGAUGAAUCCCUUCGGGGUGUAAAGUUCUUUUAUAUGUGAGCAGUGCUUCUUAUAUUAACAGUAUGGGGAGAGAGAUAUUAGCAUAUGAAUAAGCAACGGCUAACUCCGUG